CUUUUGAAAUAUUUAUGAACUAUUUUUUUCACCAUGUAUAUAUUUUAAAUAUUGGUCUUGGCCAGUCAUGUCAUGAUCAAAUUUAUUUGGCAAUAAUGAGGCUAACCAUAUGCUUAGGUGACCUAGUAAUGGCAAGGCAAUUUAAUAUACUCUGGCGGUAAUCUUUUGAAAAUAUUUAUUAGCUUUUUUUUCACUAUGUAUUUAUUUUAAAUAUUGGUCUUGGCCAGUCAUGUCAUGAUCAAAUUUAUUUGGCAGUAAUGAGGCUAACCAUAUGGUCAGGUGACUUAUUAAUGUCAAGGCAAUUUAAUAUAUUCUAGCGGUAAUCUUUUGAAAAUAUUUAUUAGCUUUUUUUUUCACUAUGUAUUUAUUUUAAAUAUUGGUCUUGGCCAGUCUUGUCAUGAUCAAAUUUAUUUGGCAGUAAUGAGGCUAACCAUAUGGUCAGAUGACCUAGUAAUGUCAAGGCAAUUUAAUAUACUCUAGCUGUAAUCUUUUGAAAAUAUUUAUUAGCUUUUUUUUUCACUAUGUAUUUAUUUUAAAUAUUGGUCUUGGCCAGUCUUGUCAUGAUCAAAUUUAUUUGGCAGUAAUGAGGUUAACCAUAUGGUUUGGUGACCUAGUAAUGUCAAGGUAUGGCAAGGCAAUUUAAUAUACUCUAGCGGUAAAUCUUUUAGAUUGAAGCAAAUGACACUAAAUGUCCAAUUUGCAUAUAUGCCAAUAGAGGCAAGUAUCAAUACUCAAUCAAAAAUCAACCAAACUCUUAGGCCUGAAUUAUUAGACCAACAGUGAGCUAAAACAUGUUUUCAUUAUGUAUAAGCCAGUAUAUAGUAUCAUGUCAGGGGACAUGGUAUACCUAAAACUAGUCAGGGUUGCACAAAGCAAAAUUUCACAGAAGAAAGCAAACUUUCGCUUUUUUUGUGGUUUGCACACAAAUCUCUGAAAGUAAGCAAAGUAGUGCUCUUCAUUUCUAACUACAUCUUCUGGAAAAGCAUAACAUUAUUCUGUUUUGUUUAGUUUAGAGAUAUAUGUACUACAGAAUUCAACAGUAGCUGCUAUGACUUUUAUGAGUUUUUUUUAUAAAUCUUUUGUUAAACGUUAGAUUUCCUGGGAUAAAAAGUAUCCUCUGUCUGUAUUGUAUAUGGCAAAAUUGCCAAAAUUUAUCAGGUGAUGAAUAGGUUAAAAACAAACAAAUGCUAGCUGUCGCAUUUCAAAUAUUUGUAUGGGUUUGGGAGUUUGGGAUUGACCUGCGCCUCUGCAUACGCUUUGCCUGUAAAAUGAGGUGAAAACGUCUGAUGUGCGAUGAGCUUUCAGUAACUCAGUAUUAAUUAUAAUUAUGAUCUUUAAAUGUUGAAGUAUUAUGUCAACAAAACGACAGUAUCUUAAGGUAUUAAUUAUAAUAAAUAAAUUAUUUUCAUCAAA